rnacentral:lncRNA from 1 species
UGCUGCUCUUGUCGAGGCGAUUGAUCAGGUACAGCGCGUUGCUCGUAACCCUAGCCGAAUUCGUAAUCUUCCGCUUCACAUCCACGGCCUUGGCCUUCACAUUCGCCUCCUGAAUCCCAUCGAGACACGUCUCGUCAUCCGUGAGGGCGGCGCUCAGCCACGUCUGGGCAUUGCUCAUCUGGAAUCGAAACGUCUCCUUCCGGAGGUGGUGCAGCUCGGCGAGCGUCUCGCUCAGCUCGUCCACCGACGUCGACAUCAGGUCCACGCAGUCGCCGAUCGCCGAGAGCUGCAGCUUCGUCCCCUUGAAGGAGGCGGAGAGCUGGGCGAGGAAGCCGGAGACGCGGAGUGAGCGGGCGAGGCUAACGUUCACAGCGGCCUGGGCGAGGUCGCGGGGGGUCUUGGCGGGGCCGGCGUAGUUGGAUAGAGUGCGGAGGCAGAUUUUGGGGUAAGUGGCGUGGCGACAUGAUGAACGGACGAUAUUUGAUGCUGG